rnacentral:tRNA from 1 species
GAGGGUAUAGCUCAAGUGGUAGAGUGCAUGUUUAGCAUGCACAGGGUCCUGGGUUCAAUCCCCUGUACCUCCU